rnacentral:lncRNA from 1 species
GUCCCUACACCCUUGGUAGGCUUCGCAGGCGACGCCGUCACAACAGAAGGGGAAGUCACCCUGCCCGUGACGGUCGGCACCGAACCAUGGCAAAACACGAUCCAUUUGACUUUCACGGUCGUCCAAGUGCCUUCGGCCUACAACGUCAUACUCGGAAGGCCUGGGCUAAAUGCCCUGAAAGUGAUCGUUUCGACGUAUCACCUUCUGGUUUGGUUCCCAACCAAAUACGG